UCCAACCCGGCCCGUCCGGCCCUCUGGCCCGGUUUAGCUCUCCGGGGCUUCUUGGGGCUUCCCGAAGUCUCGGCUCCCCUUUCUGCCGCCAGCUGCUCUCCUGACUCCAGGACGACCCAAGACUGUAACCCACCAGACUCCUCUGUCCAUGGGAUUUCCCAGGUGUCCUCAUGACUUCUCUUGCGGACCAUGUCCUUGAUCCUUUUUGCCUGCGUGGUAAGGGUGAGGGAUGGACUGCCCCUCUCGGCCUCCACUGAUUUCUACCACAGCCAAGACUUCCUGGAAUGCAGGAGACGCCUCAAGACUUUAGCCUUGCAACUGGCCCAGUAUCCAGGUCGAGGUUCCGCAGAAGGAUGUGACUUCAGCAUCCACUUCUCUUCUUCGAGGGACGUGGCCUGCAUGGCUAUCUGCUCCCUCCAGUGUCCAGCAGCCAUGGCCUUCUGCUUCCUGGAGACGCUGUGGUGGGAAUUCACAGCUUCCUAUGACACCACCUGCGUGGGCCUCGCCUCCAGGCCGUAUGCCUUUCUUGAAUUUGACAAUGUCAUUCAGAAAGUGAAGUGGCAUUUUAACUAUGUAAGUUCCACCCAGAUGGACAGCAGCUUCGGAAAAAUUCAGGAGGAACUCAAGUUCCAGCCGCCAGUGGUUCUCACCCUGGAAGACACAAAUGUGGCUAACGGGGUGAUGAAUGGACACACACUGAUGCACCUGGAGCCAGCUCCUAGUUUCCGAAUGGAACCAGUGACAGCCCUGGGCAUCCUCUCCCUUAUUCUCAACAUCAUGUGCGCUGCCCUGAACCUCAUUCGCGGAAUUCACCUCGCAGAACAUUCUUUACAGGUUGCACAUGAAGAAAUUGGAAAUAUUCUGGCUUUUCUGAUUCCUUUUGUAGCCUGCAUUUUCCAGUGUUAUCUGUACCUGUUCUAUAGUCCAGCCAGGACUAUGAAGGUGGUGCUAAUGCUGCUCUUCAUUUGCCUGGGCAACGUGUACCUGCAUGGGCUGAGGAACCUCUGGCAAAUCCUCUUUCACAUAGGAGUGGCUUUCCUGUCUUCGCAUCAGAUACUGACGAGGCAGCUUCAGGACAAGCAGUCCGACUGUGGAGUGUGAGGCUGAGGCCAUGGGAUGGACGGAUCCUUUGAUUUUCCUCUGAGGGUCAUCGGCGUUUCCCCUUUUACUUCUUGGCUUCACCUCAAGUUUCCAUCCUCGAAGUUCCUUUCAACCAAAGCAGACUGAUCCUGAGAACCAAGAUUUUUUUCACCGGUGCAGUGGGAAGCAUGAAGUUGCUGGACACCUGGUCUCAGUUUUGUGUGAGAGUUACUGCAGAAUCUCCAGUUCAGCACCUUGGACAGCAGAAUCUGGGCGCCCAGUCAGAAAGCGCAUUACUGGAAGACCAACAUGGAAUGAUUUUGGUCUUUUACGUUGAGUGAUGCAAUAAACCACUAGAUUCAGUAUCAGUAGUUUUAAGUAAUUGGCAGUUGUCUCCAAGGAACCGCUUAAACAUCUGUAUCAGCUUUUCAGUCUAAAUGUGACUUUGGACCAGCCCUGUCAGGAAACGGCCACCAGAGGGCACACCACCAGGUUCCCAGCCCAGGGACGGGUGCUGUUUCACAGGGUGAUUCCUUCAGCAGCUGAUAAAAUUCCCAGAAAGAAAACAAAUGUACCCAGCUUUCCUGACCAUGCUUUAACCAUGUUGAGGGACGCGUGCUCCAAGUUUCUCGUCACCGUCAGUCCUGAGUGAAGAUUUUCAGAGGAGGACAAAGACUUCGAAAAUAAGUAUCUGGAUUAUUGAGUUCUGGGAUUUGGGAGUUGACAGAACCUUUAGGUAGCAUCAGGUGCAACCCUAUUGCUGCUCAGAUGCAGGAGUUGAGGCCUGUCCUAGGUAGCCGGUGACAGUGUAGCCCAGAGCUCUGUCCUCUGGGCUGAGAACAAGGUGCAUUUGGAAUAAAAAGUGCCACAGAAAAUAAAAAGGGAUCUUGGCCCAUAAAGGGCACCCUUUCUGUGCCAGGAGGGCUAAGGGCUAGUUUAGGCUGAUGAACUGCCUGCCUUUUUCUGGGACUCUAACACUGACUUAAUGGACAUGAGUUUGGGUGGACUCUGAGAGUUGGUGAUGGACAAGGAGGCCUAGCGUGCUACGGUUCGUGGGGUUGCAAAGAGUCGGACAUGACUGAGCAACUGAACUGAACUGAAACCUCUGUGGGGCCAGGUAGCAGGGCUGCUGCCUGACAGCAUCCUUGGGCAGGACCAGCAGAGGAGUGAGGCUCAGGAAGGGGCCCACCUGAGUGCUCCUGGCUCUGCUGAAGCAGCUCUAAGACAUCCCCGGUUGAAUGUGAUGAAAAACUAUUAUGUUCAUUGAAGAACACCAGGGAGUGUUGUAUUUGACCUGGGAUGAAAGAGUGCUUCUUAAACAAAAAGCAUCACAAGCACAACCCUCAAGGUGAAAUGAUCAGUGAAUCUGAUGACAUGCAAAUAAUGAUUUCAUGCGUAGAGUUUAAAGAAUGAGAGAAAAUAUUUACAAUGUCUGAAAUCAGCAAGGGAUUAAUAUACAAGCAAGUCCUGAAAUCAUUAAGAAAGAUAAGGGACUUGAACAGAAAAAUUAGCAAUUUGCCUAAGAGAAAACCCAGGAAGCUAAUAAGCAUAUGAAGAUGCUUAAAAUCAUUAGAAAUACAGAGAAAUACCUAUUUAAACCAUUGUAAGGUAUCACCUUAUGCCUAUGACUUUGGCAAAACUCGGAAAGCUGGGUGGCAGCAAGUAUUGGAGCAAGUUGAGGGGAUAUGGGACUCCAUGUAUGGCCAGUCUGAAGAGCUGUGCUACUGGUAUGGGCUGGACUGUGUUUUCCUCAAAUUCAGUGUCAAAGUCCUAACCUCCAGUGCCUCAAAAUGUGGCUGUAUUUGAUGAUAUAGGGUCUUUUUAAAAACAUGGAUCAUUUUAAAAAUCUUUAUUGAAUUUGUUACAAUAUUGCUUCUGCUUUGUUUUGUUUUGUUUUUUGGUGGGGGGGAGAAUCUUAGCUCCCUCACCAGUGAUUGAACCCACACGCCCUGCAUUGGAAAGGGAAGCCUUAACUACUGGACCACCAGGGAAGUGAUAUGUCUUUACAAAGGUAAUUAAGGUUAAAAAAAAUAUAUCAUACGAAGAGGGCUCAAAUCCUUGAGAGUGGAGAUUAGGACACAGAGAUGUACAGAGGGGAGACCUCAGGAGAGCGCAGGGAGGAGGUGCUCGUCUGUAAGCCAAGAAGGAACCAGUCCUAUGGAUCACCUUGAUCUCCAACU